ACCAACGUAAUGAUCUCAUGAGACGUUUUGUAAAACCCUGCUUUCCACACAGAAUUUUAAUACACUAACAUGACUUAUAAUACCAUGUUUCCUAACAGAAUUUGAAUAUAACAAAAUUCCAACAUGUUCAGCCUUUAAGAAUUCUAAGAUCGUAUUUAUUACAACCCAAAAUAGACAAUAAUGACUAUAAAAGUUAUGUUAUACGCAAGCAAGCCUCGUCGCCUCGACGAGUCCUUUGCUUUCUACCAUUCCAACUAGGCAAGACUGUCUCCAUUCCCUGCAACAUAGUAUGUAUCCGUGAGUAAUUUCAUCACUAAGUAUGUAAAACAUCCAUAUUAUCAUGUCUCAAAUAUCAAGCUAUUUUACGCUACAAUUAGUAAAGGAUGCACAUAAUAAGCAAGAAAUAAGUAAACCUCUAAUCUAGUUCAUUAAUCAAUAAUCAUUCAUAAGACCCAUAUGGGUCGUCAUUCGUCAUUCAUUAUUCACCGUCGGUUAGGCGUUAAAACACCCUGGUCAUGUUUUACUCAUGCAUUCAUUCAUUCACUCGUUCAUUCAUUCAUUCAUUCAUGCAAUCAUUCAUCUAUUCCUUAACUCAUUUACACAUGCAUUUCUACCUUUGUUCUCAUGUCCAUUCAUGCAAUCCCUCCCUAAUCAUUUUCUCAUUUUUAAAUCGAUCAGCAACAAUUUUAUUCAAUUAAAUCAAUUAGCAAUCAUGGUCAUCAUACGUGAAAUUAAUUACUAAUUACUUCCCCCAACAUGAAUCAUGAUGACACUUUAUUGACAUGUUUCUUUUACUGUUUCUUAAUGUACAUUAACCAUCUCAUGUCCAUUAACAUUUCAACCUUUUAACAUUUCUACAUAUUAAUAGUUUAACAUUUAAUAAUAUCCUUACAGGACUUAGUAUGCUUGAUAAUUCAGAAAAACCUUUGGAUUGCUAAAAAUACAGAUAAGAUAAAUGUAGAAAGCAACAGAUUAUCAUGGUAUUUUAAUUGUGAGAAGUCUGAUUUAAACCUUAGGAUUGCUAAAGCAUAUAUAAGAUAAACAUAGAAAAUAACAGAAGCAUCAUUGUAUUUUAUUUGGAAAAAUCUACUUUAUACUCACUACUCUUAAAUCUUAACUAUAGCUACUUAUACAAUUGGUUAUCUCCGUGACUCUCUAUACCAACAGAUCUACCAUCUACAAUCAUAGAUCCAAAAUCACCCAAUAAAACCAUAACAAGUGUCUAAUUAACUAUUAAAUUUUCUGGCCAGCACACUAAGAGAUCCACCGCUUAUGGUGUUCACUUUCUAAGUGAAAAGGAAUUUACAACUAAAAUCUAACAGAAGAAAGGAAACACAUCGAAUCACUUAAUAGAUCCUACUGAUAUAUUAUUUACAAUCAUCAAUUCGAUAUCACCUCAAUAAACCAUCAACAAUUAUCAUCACAAUGAAUUCUAUUUAUGACCAGAACCGCUAAAGGAUCCACCGCUUUCAGAUCUGUGGAUUUACAUCAUGGUGACCACCAUGAUUUUCAGAUCGUUAGACUCUAAAAAAAUGGAACCCAUCCGUUUCCCUCCCUCACUUCUCAAACCCUAGACAUGGAAUUUGGAAAAGUAACUCUACAUACCUCCUCCGUUGUCAGUCGAGCCUCACACCUAUCACACCACGACACUGAUGCUCCCUUACAGAUCUCAGCCACGAUGCAUUAGCCGUUCUCCUUUACUCCUAGCUGUCCUCCUUCUUCCUCCUUUCGUACCCCCUUUUCUGUUUUUCUUUCUAUUAUUUUAUUUUUUUU
rnacentral:lncRNA from 1 species